rnacentral:piRNA from 1 species
UGUGACAACACCAGCCAUUAUGAACCUA